rnacentral:misc_RNA from 1 species
GUUUUGUGUUGCUGUUUUGAUAUGAUCAUAUUUGACUUGUGAUGAGACAGUUAGUUUAUGGUAUUAUGAAAACUGACUUUCAAAUGACUAAAUUAGUAACUAUUAUUUGUUUGAUAAUAUCCAUGGGUGUGAUGAACUCAUUCAAAGUUAUUUGAUAUUAACAGUAAACUAUAAGAUGGGCAGAAUCCAUGUGUGAUGAAUUCAUUAUAUUUUAGUUUGUAGUAAGUUAAACGAUGGGGAAAGUAGUUGUUUAUUGUUUUUUACUAAAGUUAUCCUUGUUGCCCCCAACGACUAGUUAGUAUAAUCAAGUUGUAUAACUCUUGUAUUAACUUUCCUUAGUUUGCUCAAGUGAAGGUAUUGUUCCUAGUUAUCUUCUUCUAUUUGUUCAGGGUUCAUGACUUCAUUUUAAGGUUAUAAAUAGUUUUUUUGUUUGUAUUAAAUCUUGAGAUAGUUAACUAAGCUUGUCUUGUAUGUUUCGCAUGCUUAUUUUGACCCUAAUGUGAUGUAUCAUCCCCCUUCCCGUGUUCAUUCAUGAAUAUAUGAAGAGAAGUUUUGUGGUCACUAAAGUUAUAUUGUCUUCAUUUUAGUAUAAAAUUUCUAUUAUAUCUUCUCUUAUGUUUCAUGUACAAUCGGAGGGUUGGAGUUUCUACAUUGGAACUCGUUUUGGCCUAAAAUAUUAGGCCAACAGCAAUUAGGAUCAUGACAAUGCUUGGAGUCCUGCAAAUUCGGAGUCCAAAUAUUUCUUAGUCUUUCUCUUUUCGAGUUGUUUUGACUUGUUGGCUAACCUUUACUUCUAAGUUUUUGAUAUAUUGCUUGUCUUUUAUGUUGAAGUUUA